GUGGCUUAGUGGAGAGUUGUUCCGCUCAUAACGGUCUGGUUGCAGGUUCGAGUCCUGCCGGGCCCACCA
rnacentral:tRNA from 1 species